UGAGUCGGUUGGUCGGUCGCAUCGAAAGAUGAGGAAAGUCCGAGCAUCACAGGGCAGAGUGGCAGAUAAUACCUGCUGAAGGCGACUUUAAGGAAAGUGCAACAGAAAUAAACCGCGAGUUUACUCGUAAGGAUGGAAAGGUGCGGUAAGAGCGCACCGGCAGUUCGGCAACGAAAUUGGCCGUGUAAACCCCACUUGAUGCAAGAGAAAAGAGCAAACAGAUAGCCCGUCUAGCUCCUAAAUCGCUUGAACUCAUUGGUGACAAUGAGUCUAGACAGAUGACCGAACACGACAGAACUCGGCUUACAGACCGACUCGCAAC
rnacentral:RNase_P_RNA from 1 species